rnacentral:rRNA from 1 species
AUGGCUCACAUUACCCACAACAACGACUGCGAAGCUGGAGCUGCACCAUCCACCCAGCAGGGCCAGGGCGGAGGGGGCAGUAACAAUGUAGCUACAGACUUAACUCUGUACGAGUUCAAGGAGCAGCUCCUGCUGCUGUCCACUCUGGUCACAGCGGUGACCUACGUCGCCGGGCUGAACCUGCCGGGGGGGUCCUGGGAGCAGGAUGACCCCGGGGGCCACAUCGCCGGUGAUCCGAUCCUACGGGAUCUCCACUACCACCGGUACCUCGCCUUCUACUACUCCAACGCCACCGCAUUCGCCGCGUCCCUUGUGAUCUCCCUCAUCCUCGUCAUCCUGCCAAAGAAGAACCAUGUUUGGACAUCGGUGCUGCGGGUGGUGAUGAUGGUCGAUCUACUUGGCCUCAUGGGCUCCUAUGGUGCCGGGAGCUGCCGGGAUGCGUUCACCACCAUCUUCGCAGUGGUAGCCUUCUCUGUUUUGAUAUUGUGCAUCAUUGGUGUUUUCUUCUCCUACCUCUGGCUGAAUGGUGACAAAGAGGCCCACUCCAACCCCAUCUCCAAUGCCAACUCGAACUCCGAGUCCAUCUCCAUCUCAGAUGCCAACUCGAACUCCGAGUGCAUCACCAUCUCCCAUUACAACUCCAAUUCUAUCUCCGCCCCUGACGCCACCUCCAGUUCCAACUUGAACCCUAUCUCCAACCCCAAAUACAGUUUUAUUUUCCGUGCCAGCAAGCAAGUCCCGACACAAAAUAACGUGUUGAAUUUACUUGUUAACUCCAAGAAGCAAAAGAAGUAUCAGAUCGAUGUGUUAAUGUUACUGGCAACAUUAGCAAUCACCAUCACAUACGUUGCCGGGCUUAGCCCACCUGGUGGAUUCUGGAGCAGCACCCAGGAUGGCCAUCAUUUGAGCGACCCCGUGUUACAAGCCCGACGUCGGUUCCGUGCCUUCUACGUUUGCAACACCACCUCGUUUGUCGUGUCCCUACUCAUCGUCGUGUUUCUCCUGGAGAAGAUGAUGCUCGGAGAGAAGGAGCUGUUCGGGAGAUUGACAUGGUGGUUCGUGAAAAAGAAGCUCAUGCCAAUGCGGCUUGCGGUGCCCUACUGGUUGAUUGCCAUUGCUUUGUUGGGACUCAUGGGGGCCUAUGCUGCUGGGAGUUGCAGAGGUGCUGGCAGUACUGUCUUGGUGCUUGCUAUUCCUGUCUGCGUCUUCCUCCUGCUGGCGCUUGUUUUCCUUCAGGAACAGAAUCUUAUUCUUUCCAUAGUAAGGCGGUGGUUCAAAGCGCGGUUCGGCACCCCUCGAGGUACCAACACAUAUCACCAAAUCACUCGCAAUCUUGGUACGCUCCUUGCUGUUUUUGUGGUGACCAUCACUUACCAAGCUGGACUAGAUCCACCGGGGGGCCUCUGGCAAGAGGAUGGGGAUGGACAUAAAAUUGGCCAUCCGGUGCUGCAAACCACACAUCCUACUCGCAAGUAUUUGCUCACGCGGCCCAUAGUGGAAGCAACCAUGGGACUAGACCUACUGUGCCUCAUAACGGCUUAUGGCGCUGGUAGCACUAGGGAUGUAAACACAUCCAUCUACAUCAUCACCUUGGAAGGUCUUCUUCUAGUCUACGUCAUCGUCCAUAUGUCCGUUAAAGACUCUGGUCCAGAGCCGGAAGGUUAUGCUGCAGUAAAGGAUCUAGAAGACAAGCGCAAGAUGUUGCUGUUGAUUGCUAUAUUGGUCACAACCCUCACAUACCAAGCUGGUCUCACUCCGCCAGGUGGCUUUUGGUUAGCAGAUGACCAAGCACUCGGUCGCCAUGUGGGUUUCCCAGUUCUCCUCGACAAUUACCCUCGCCGUUACAACAUAUUCUUUUAUAGCAACACAGCAAGCUUCAUGUCGUCAAUAACCCUCCUCCUUUUUCUCAUCAGUCCCAAACUUUAUAGGCUAGGUAUAGAUUGUUAUGUGCUCUAUGUGUGCAUGCUGGUGGGCAUGUUUGGCCUCAUGGGCGCUUAUGCUGCUGGAAGCUCCAGGCAUCUGAAAACCUCCAUUUUUGUGUUAACCUUGGUUGUGCCGGUGUUGGCAAUCAUAACCUUGCUGAUAGCCCUUUUUUGGUUCUUCUCGAAACAAAGUCAUGGCAGCAGCGACAACAUCACCUCCAUCAGAAACAACGACAACAGUAAUACAACAACCACAGCCACAAUCACAACCACCAUCACCGCCACCACCACCACCACCACCACCAUAGCUACCAACAACAACGACGACGACGACGACGACAAAGAGAAAUAUACAAUUGAAUACUUCAUGUUGCUAGGUAUCCUGGGUGCAAGUAUGACAUACCAGACUGGCCUAAAACCACCAGGCGGCUUGUGGCAGGACAACUCCGAAGGACACUCAGCUGGCAACCCCAUCCUCCACGACAUCAACGAGCACCGGUACAAUGCUUUCUUCUACAGCAACUCCACUUCCUUCAUGGCCUCAAUCGUAGUCGUCAUCAUGCUGCUGCCAUUGACCAUCAAAAAGUAUCAUGAUCUCCAUCUGCCAUUCUGGCCGAUGCACACAGCCAUUUUAUUGGACAUGCUUAGCCUCUUAGUGGCCUACACUGCAGGCAGUACUAGGAAAUGGGAAACCUCCAGAAACGUCAUGUUCCUCAUCAUUCCUGUGUUUCUCUACAUUGCGGUCUACGUAGCAGCGUCGGUCUUCUACCACAGGAAAGACCAUGUAUUGAUAAGGUCAAACGCAAUAGUAGCCCGCUUAGUGACAGAAUGA